CCCACCGUCAGCACCCAAAGCUGAAAUUC
rnacentral:piRNA from 1 species